rnacentral:lncRNA from 1 species
UAUUAACAAAAACCUGCGUAAGAUAAGAUCGUUAACAAAUCUAGAAGUUCAAAAUAAGUAAAACAGCUCCCCAUUUACAUAAAUUAACAAACAUCAUUGUGCAUAGAAGAAAGAAAAAACUAAUGAACAGCCAUGCUUGGAAAAAACUAUCACUAUGCAUCUGCUAGAGGUCAUGAGGAUGGUUGGAAAAAACUAUCACUAUGCAUCUGUUAGAGGCCAUGAGGAUGGUUUUACUGCAGAAUCUACCAGUGCUGUUGGCAGGCCAAAAUUAUGGAGAGUCAACUCUAGGGAAAAGAAAAUGGGAGUAAGGUAAUGAGUAAGUGAAGGGAGAGCUGACAGUAAAAUAG